UACAGAGGGUGCGAGCGUUAAUCGGAAUUACUGGGCGUAAAGCGUGCGUAGCCGGUUACAUAAGUCGGGUGUGAAAGCCCCGGGCUCAACCUGGGAAUUGCAUUUGAGACUGCAUAGCUAGGGUGCGGAAGAGGGAAGCGGAAUUUCCGGUGUAGCGGUGAAAUGCGUAGAUAUCGGAAGGAACAUCAGUGGCGAAAGCGGCUUCCUGGUCCAGCACCGACGUUCAGGCACGAAAGCGUGGGGAGCAAACAGG
rnacentral:rRNA from 1 species